UAUAAAAACAUUAUAGAAAGAAGAAAUUACAAACAAAAUUGGCGAGUGCAAAAUAAACAAUAAGUUAAGCCAAGUUUGAGUUAAUAUUAUUGUAGGGGCCAUGUGAAAUGAUAUUUUGGUACAUUAUAAAGUUGAGCAAGUGAAAUGUUGUAGGAGGAGAUAAUAUUAUGAGCUCUCCUGAGUCCUGAGAGAAGAGUGGUGGUGGUCGUCGUUUUAAGUGAGACGCGUCCAGAAGCCAGGCGAUGAGCGUGCAUGUGCGUGUGCGUGGUAGUGAUCACACACACACUCUCUCUCUCAAGUGGCGGCCGGGAAAGUUUUGUUUUGUUGAGGGGAAUGUUGUCUGGCUCGAGGACCCUUCCUUUCCCUUCCCUUCCCUUCUCUAAAUGAAAUAAGAGUCGUCGGACCAGGCUUCAUUCCCCC